ACAAUUAAAAAACAAAAAACAGGUGGUAUUGGUAUUCCAUUUUUCUUUACCUGUCCCCACAAUCGUCGCCUUUAGAUACAGUAGUUGUAGACGUGUUCUGUUUGACUGUGAUUAGCUUACCAAAAUAAUCCACUUGAAAUAUAUAUGAUUAUUUUUAUCAGUCUCAUCGGCUAUUCAUGACGAAUUGGUAUAAUCAUAGUUCCCUAAGGCAUAAAUCUUUCAGUGAUGAAAAAUCUCCUAGGAUAUAAAGUAAGUGGAGUGUCAAAGGAUCAACACAUUCAUCUUACAGUGAGAUAUAGAUUAUUGAAUCAGUAUCUUAUAAAAUAUAUUAGUUACUUGUUAAUCCACCUGGUUUAUGUUGAUAGAACAAUUAAAACACAAAAGGGAUGAAGGCAUUUUACAACCCAUUAUAUGUUAUUUAAAAGUUAAUUCAAUUCCUUAUUUAACUGUUUAAAAAGAAAUCAAAUUAGCUUAUAAAGAACAUAAGGGGUUGUAAAGUGGUUUCCUUAAUAUUACAGUUCAGGUUUCCUUUGCUAAAGUAUGUUCUUUGCUUAUAUUACAAGAUGACUCCUUGUACCUUGGAUUUUUCAGUAGGCUGUCAGUAUUUGCCUCUGCUGGAAUUAAAUAUAAAUUCAUAA